GGUGAGUAACACGUGGGUAAUCUACCUCCGAAUUGGGGAUAACGUUGCGAAAGCGACGUUAAUACCGAAUGAUAUCCAGAGAUUCUCGGAUUUCUGGAUCAAAGGUGGCCUCUUCAUGAAAGCUACUGUUUGAAGAUGAGCCCGCGUCCCAUUAGCUUGUUGGUAGGGUAACGGCCUACCAAGGCUUCGAUGGGUAGCUGGUCUGAGAGGAUGAUCAGCCACACUGGAACUGACACACGGUCCAGACUCCUACGGGAGGCAGCAGUGAGGAAUUUUGCGCAAUGGGGGAAACCCUGACGCAGCAACGCCGCGUGAGUGAUGAAGGCUUUCGGGUCGUAAAGCUCUGUCAAGUGGGAAGAACCCGUAUAUGGCUAAUAUCCAUAUACGCUGACGGUACCACUGAAGGAAGCACCGGCUAACUCCGUGCCAGCAGCCGCGGUAAUACGGGGGGUGCAAGCGUUACUCGGAAUCAUUGGGCGUAAAGGGCGCGUAGGCGGCCUGGUAAGUCAGGUGUGAAAGCCCGGGGCUUAACCCCGGAAGUGCAUUUGAUACUGCUAGGCUUGAGUAUGGGAGAGGGAAGUGGAAUUCCUGGUGUAGAGGUGAAAUUCGUAGAUAUCAGGAGGAACACCGGUGGCGAAGGCGACUUCCUGGACCAAUACUGACGCUGAGGCGCGAAGGCGUGGGGAGCAAACAGGAUUAGAUACCCUGGUAGUCCACGCAGUAAACGUUGUUCACUAGGUGUAGCGUAUUGACCCCUGGUGUGCCGAAGCUAACGCAUUAAGUGAACCGCCUGGGAAGUACGGCCGCAAGGUUAAAACUCAAAGGAAUUGACGGGGGCCCGCACAAGCGGUGGAGCAUGUGGUUUAAUUCGACGCAACGCGAAGAACCUUACCAGGGCUUGACAUCCUCAGAAUCUUAAGGAAACUUAGGAGUGCCUGGUAGCAGAGAGACAGGUGGUGCAUGGUUGUCGUCAGCUCGUGUCGUGAGAUGUUGGGUUAAGUCCCGCAACGAGCGCAACCCUUGUCUUUAGUUACCAUCAUUCAGUUGGGCACUCUAAUGAGACUGCCGGUGAUAAACCGGAGGAAGGUGGGGAUGACGUCAAAUCAUCAUGCCCCUUAUGUUCUGGGCUACACACGUGCUACAAUGGCCGGUACAGACGGAAGCGAAGCCGCGAGGUGAAGCAAAUCCGAGAAAGCCGGUCUCAGUUCGGAUUGCAGGCUGCAACUCGCCUGCAUGAAGUCGGAAUCGCUAGUAAUCGCAGGUCAGCAUACUGCGGUGAAUACGUUCCCGGGCCUUGUACACACCGCCCGUCACACCACGAAAGUCUGCAACACCCGAAGCCGGUGAGGUAACCGACUCGAGAUUCGAGGAUCGAAGUUCGAGGUUCGAAAUGC
rnacentral:rRNA from 1 species